UCUGGUUGAUCCUGCCAGUAGUUAUAUGCUUGUCUCAAAGAUUAAGCCAUGCAUGUCUAAGUACACACGAAUUAAAAGUGAAACCGCAAAAGGCUCAUUAUAUCAGUUAUGGUUCCUUAGAUCGUUAACAGUUACUUGGAUAACUGUGGUAAUUCUAGAGCUAAUACAUGCAAUUAAAACAUGAACCUUAUGGGACAUGUGCUUUUAUUAGGCUAAAACCAAGCGAUCGCAAGAUCGUUAUAUUGGUUGAACUCUAGAUAACAUGCAGAUCGUAUGGUCUUGUACCGACGACAGAUCUUUCAAAUGUCUGCCCUAUCAACUUUUGAUGGUAGUAUCUAGGACUACCAUGGUUGCAACGGGUAACGGGGGAAUCAGGGGUUCGAUUCCGGAGAGGGAGCCUGAGAAACGGCUACCACAUCUAAGGAAGGCAGCAGGCGCGUAAAUUACCCACUCCCAGCUCGGGGAGGUAGUGACGAAAAAUAACAAUACAGGACUCAUAUCCGAGGCCCUGUAAUUGGAAUGAGUACACUUUAAAUCCUUUAACAAGGACCAAUUGGAGGGCAAGUCUGGUGCCAGCAGCCGCGGUAAUUCCAGCUCCAAUAGCGUAUAUUAAAGUUGUUGCGGUUAAAACGUUCGUAGUUGAACUUGUGCUUCAUACGGGUAGUACAACUUACAAUUGUGGUUAGUACUAUACCUUUAUGUAUGUAAGCGUAUUACCGGUGGAGUUCUUAUAUGUGAUUAAAUACUUGUAUUUUUUCAUAUGUUCCUCCUAUUUAAAAACCUGCACUAGUGCUCUUAAACGAGUGUUAUUGUGGGCCGGUACUAUUACUUUGAACAAAUUAGAGUGCUUAAAGCAGGCUUCAAAUGCCUGAAUAUUCUGUGCAUGGGAUAAUGAAAUAAGACCUCUGUUCUGCUUUCAUUGGUUUUCAGAUCAAGAGGUAAUGAUUAAUAGAAGCAGUUUGGGGGCAUUAGUAUUACGACGCGAGAGGUGAAAUUCUUGGACCGUCGUAAGACUAACUUAAGCGAAAGCAUUUGCCAAAGAUGUUUUCAUUAAUCAAGAACGAAAGUUAGAGGUUCGAAGGCGAUCAGAUACCGCCCUAGUUCUAACCAUAAACGAUGCCAGCUAGCAAUUGGGUGUAGCUACUUUUAUGGCUCUCUCAGUCGCUUCCCGGGAAACCAAAGCUUUUGGGCUCCGGGGGAAGUAUGGUUGCAAAGCUGAAACUUAAAGGAAUUGACGGAAGGGCACCACCAGGAGUGGAGCCUGCGGCUUAAUUGACU
rnacentral:rRNA from 1 species